AUUGAACGCUGGCGGCAGGCCUAACACAUGCAAGUCGAACGCGUGGCGGACGGGUGAGUAGUGUCUGGAAAUCUGCCUGAUGGAGGGGGAUAACUACUGGACACGGUCGCUAAUACCGCAUACCCUCAGAUGUGCCCAGAUGGGAUUAGCUAGUGGGUGGGGUAACGGCUCACCAAGGCGACGACCCCUAGCUGGUCUGAGAGGAUGACCAGCCACACUGGAACUGAGACACGGUCCAGACUCCUACGGGAGGCAGCAGUGGGGAAUAUUGCACAAUGGGCGCAAGCCUGAUGCAGCCAUGCCGCGUGUAUGAAGAAGGCCUUCGGGUUGUAAAGUACUUUCAGCGGGGAGGCGUUACCCGCAGAAGAAGCACCGGCUAACUCCGUGCCAGCCGCCGCGGUAAUAC
rnacentral:rRNA from 1 species